rnacentral:rRNA from 1 species
AUGCCCAUGGCGCUCCUCUCCGCCACCUCCCCCGCCAAGACGCUCUUCUGCCACGAGGAGCAGUACCCAGCGCAGAGCGGCCUCCUCCUCUCGGUCCCGCAGUCCAGGAAACAGAGGGCGCGCGCCAGGCUGGUGGCGGCAAUGCGCCCGGCGGGCGCGGCCGCCACGGAGACGGCCUCUACGGCGGCGGCGUCGUCGUCGGGGGGCACGAAGGGGAAGCCUCGCGUGCUGGUGGCGGGCGGCGGCAUCGGGGGCCUGGUGCUGGCGCUGGCGGCUCGGCGGAAGGGGUACGACGUGACGGUGUUCGAGCGGGACAUCAGCGCGGUGCGCGGGGAGGGGCAGUACCGCGGGCCCAUCCAGAUCCAGAGCAACGCGCUGGCGGCGCUGGAGGCCAUCGACAUGUCGGUGGCCGAGGAGGUGAUGCGCGAGGGCUGCGUCACCGGCGACCGCAUCAACGGCCUCGUCGACGGCAUCUCCGGCUCAUGGUACAUCAAGUUUGAUACCUUCACUCCUGCUGCUGACAGAGGGCUCCCGGUCACAAGGGUCAUUAGCCGCAUGACGCUGCAGCAGAUUCUUGCCCGUGCAGUCGGCGACGACGCUAUAAUGAACGAUUGCCACGUUGUCGACUUUACUGAUGAUGGCAACAAGGUCACCGCGAUAUUGGAGGAUGGGCGGAAAUUUGAAGGUGAUCUCUUGGUUGGAGCAGAUGGCAUAUGGUCAAAGGUGAGGAAGUCGCUUUUUGGCGAAACGGAUGCAUCUUAUUCAGAAUACACUUGCUACACCGGAAUUGCAGACUUUGUGCCUCCUGAUAUUGACACAGUCGGGUACCGAGUGUUUCUUGGUCACAAACAAUAUUUCGUCUCCUCAGACGUUGGUGGUGGUAAAAUGCAGUGGUAUGCAUUUCACAAGGAACCUGCUGGUGGUACUGAUCCUGAGAAUGGCAAAAAGAAAAGACUGCUCGAGAUAUUUAGCGGUUGGUGUGAUAAUGUCAUUGAUCUGCUAAAUGCAACUGAGGAGGAAGCAAUUCUUCGCCGGGAUAUAUACGAUCGGCCACCUACUAUCAACUGGGGGAAAGGUCGUGUCACCUUGCUUGGUGACUCUGUCCAUGCUAUGCAGCCAAAUCUGGGACAGGGUGGCUGCAUGGCUAUUGAGGAUGGUUACCAGCUGGCUGUAGAGCUUGAGAAGGCCUGGGAAGAGAGUGUCAAGUCUAGAACUCCUGUGGACGUUAUUUCCUCCUUGAGGAGUUAUGAGAAGGAGAGAAAGCUACGUGUUGCUAUCAUACAUGGAUUGGCAAGAAUGGCGGCAAUCAUGGCUACCACUUACAGACCAUAUCUAGGUGUGGGUCUGGGACCUUUGUCGUUUUUGACAAAGUUGAGGAUACCGCAUCCUGGAAGAGUUGGUGGCAGAUUUUUCAUCAAGGUUGGAAUGCCUUUGAUGCUGAGCUGGAUUUUAGGUGGCAACAGCUCAAAGCUAGAAGGAAGACCGUUAAGUUGCCGGCUUUCUGACAAGGCAAGCAACCAGCUUGGUCGAUGGUUUCAGGAUGACGAUGCAUUGGAACAAGCUAUGGGUGGAGAGUGGUACCUCUUCCCUAUGAGCUCUGGAGAUGACUCUGCCUUGCAGCCCAUUCGUUUGAUCAGGGAUGAACAGAGGACACUCUCUAUUGGAAGCAAACCAGAUCCGAGCAAUUCUGAUUCUUCGUUGUCGUUCCCCUUGCCACAAGUAUCAGAGAUCCAUGCUACUAUCACAUGCAAGAAUAAGGGUUUCUAUUUGACCGAUCUCGGAAGCGAGCAUGGUACAUGGUUUAACGACAACGAAGGCAGACGCUACCGGUUACCUCCGAACUUCCCAGUUCGUUUCCACCCUUCUGAUGCCAUUGAGUUUGGUUCAGAUAAGAAGGCCAUGUUCCGGGUGAAAGUGCUCAGCACGCUUCCAUACGACUCCGCGAGAGGUGGAGAAGUUCUGCAGGCAGCAUGA